AGCCACGUUUUCUUGGCCUUCACGUCAGUGCUCGUCUCCUUGUCCGUGGACAUCUCGGAGUUGCUCCAACACUGUGGUCCCACGGGAAGAUGCUGUCUCCUGAUGGAGCUGCUCUCCUGGGAGUGGGCACCCCCAGGCUCUUUGUCCCCUUUUAUCCCUCCUGGUCAGGGCACGGCCCAAAGGUCACAGUGGGAUCUGGACACACACAAACCCCAUGUCACAAAGGGAAACGGUCUGGGUGGAGUCCCAAUUGUUCCCAAAGGAUCUGGGCACAGGUAUGAAGUUCAACAUUCUCCACUUUAUAAUGCAGAAUAAGACACGGGACAACUCACAUGAUUCAGGAGGCAAAGGAAAAGAAGCUGCUAAUGAGCUGUUGGAAUAGAAUUUUGAAACAAAGGAGACCAAAGACCCAUGAUGGGCUGGACUGCUUCGGUGUCUCUUUGGCUUUAGAUGAAUCCAAAAGACUUUCUUCCUAAAGUGAUUGGAAGUAGUAUACUGUAAACCCUUUCAAGUGUGCAUUUUCCUUGUUGUAUCUUUGUCUAAGAAUACCACAUUUAGUUCAUCUCAUGAAAGGUGCAGCUCCAGGGGCUUGAGGCAAAGCACAGUGUGCAAAUUCCUGUUGCCAUUCCUGCAGGACACAGCCUCUUGAAAUAGGUGAAAAUACAGUAAAGUAUCCUCUCUGAUUGUCUGUGAGGAACAUUUUCUCCUGGGCUGGUUCUACCCAGAGCCAAGGAAAAGCCUUAUGGGAUGCUGUACACUGGAAAAGCACAAAGUUGUACAGCUUGGGUGAGAAAAUGAUGAUUUUAGAAGAAAGAAAUAUUACAAAAUCUAUAGUGUGCAGAGAAAUGUACUUUUGUUGUUGUUGUUGUUGUUGUUGUUUUGUUUUGUUUUGUUUUGUUUUUUCCUUGUGAGGUUGUUCCUUUUCCCUUACAGUCUCUGGACUGCUCUGAGAUCUGCCUGGUAUUUUCCCUGGUUACCAGCGUUAGGUUAUGGGAUAAACACUACGUUGCCUGCCCACAGAGAAGCAACAGUGGGAGGAAAUCCAAAUCAUACCCUGUCCAAUUUGCUCCUGGGCCCAUUGCAGGAGCUGUCAGAGACACAAAGGCACAUGGGAGACCAAAUUACAGGCUCAGAGCAGGAGAAAUCCUGGUCAGGAGACCACACCCCAGCCCCACAUGUCAUUAGGAGAAGGGAGCAUCUCUCCUGAGAUUUUUGGAGCAUAUCCAAGGCCAGCAA